rnacentral:rRNA from 1 species
GAUGAACGCUGGCGGCGUGCCUAAUACAUGCAAGUCGAGCGAACGGACGAGAAGCUUGCUUCUCUGAUGUUAGCGGCGGACGGGUGAGUAACACGUGGAUAACCUACCUAUAAGACUGGGAUAACUUCGGGAAACCGGAGCUAAUACCGGAUAAUAUUUUGAACCGCAUGGUUCAAAAGUGAAAGACGGUCUUGCUGUCACUUAUAGAUGGAUCCGCGCUGCAUUAGCUAGUUGGUAAGGUAACGGCUUACCAAGGCAACGAUGCAUAGCCGACCUGAGAGGGUGAUCGGCCACACUGGAACUGAGACACGGUCCAGACUCCUACGGGAGGCAGCAGUAGGGAAUCUUCCGCAAUGGGCGAAAGCCUGACGGAGCAACGCCGCGUGAGUGAUGAAGGUCUUCGGAUCGUAAAACUCUGUUAUUAGGGAAGAACAUAUGUGUAAGUAACUGUGCACAUCUUGACGGUACCUAAUCAGAAAGCCACGGCUAACUACGUGCCAGCAGCCGCGGUAAUACGUAGGUGGCAAGCGUUAUCCGGAAUUAUUGGGCGUAAAGCGCGCGUAGGCGGUUUUUUAAGUCUGAUGUGAAAGCCCACGGCUCAACCGUGGAGGGUCAUUGGAAACUGGAAAACUUGAGUGCAGAAGAGGAAAGUGGAAUUCCAUGUGUAGCGGUGAAAUGCGCAGAGAUAUGGAGGAACACCAGUGGCGAAGGCGACUUUCUGGUCUGUAACUGACGCUGAUGUGCGAAAGCGUGGGGAUCAAACAGGAUUAGAUACCCUGGUAGUCCACGCCGUAAACGAUGAGUGCUAAGUGUUAGGGGGUUUCCGCCCCUUAGUGCUGCAGCUAACGCAUUAAGCACUCCGCCUGGGGAGUACGACCGCAAGGUUGAAACUCAAAGGAAUUGACGGGGACCCGCGCAAGCGGUGGAGCAUGUGGUUUAAUUCGAAGCAACGCGAAGAACCUUACCAAAUCUUGACAUCCUUUGACAACUCUAGAGAUAGAGCCUUCCCCUUCGGGGGACAAAGUGACAGGUGGUGCAUGGUUGUCGUCAGCUCGUGUCGUGAGAUGUUGGGUUAAGUCCCGCAACGAGCGCAACCCUUAAGCUUAGUUGCCAUCAUUAAGUUGGGCACUCUAAGUUGACUGCCGGUGACAAACCGGAGGAAGGUGGGGAUGACGUCAAAUCAUCAUGCCCCUUAUGAUUUGGGCUACACACGUGCUACAAUGGACAAUACAAAGGGCAGCGAAACCGCGAGGUCAAGCAAAUCCCAUAAAGUUGUUCUCAGUUCGGAUUGUAGUCUGCAACUCGACUACAUGAAGCUGGAAUCGCUAGUAAUCGUAGAUCAGCAUGCUACGGUGAAUACGUUCCCGGGUCU